rnacentral:rRNA from 1 species
CCCCUAGAUGUUCUGGGCCGCACGCGCGCUACACUGAACAGUUCAACAAGUCUUAACCUUGGCCGAUAGGUCUGGGUAAUCUUUGAACGCUGUUCGUGAUUGGGAUAGACUUUUGCAAUUUUUGGUCUUCAACGAGGAAUUCCUAGUAAACGCAAGUCAUCAACUUGCAUUGAUUACGUCCCUGCCCUUUGUACACACCGCCCGUCGCACCUACCGAUUGAAUGGUCCGGUGAAGCCUCCGGAUUGGCGCGCACCUCGGUGCCGCCGAGAAGUUGGCUAAACCUUACCAUUUAGAGGAAGGUGAANUCGUANCA